rnacentral:rRNA from 1 species
GACGUGCAAAUCGAUUGUCAGAAUUGAGUAUAGGGGCGAAAGACCAAUCGAACCAUCUAGUAGCUGGUUCCUUCCGAAGUUUCCCUCAGGAUAGCUGGUGCAUUUUAAUAUUAUAUAAAAUAAUCUUAUCUGGUAAAGCGAAUGAUUAGAGGCCUUAGGGUCGAAACGAUCUUAACCUAUUCUCAAACUUUAAAUGGGUAAGAACCUUAACUUUCUUGAUAUGAAGUUCAAGGUUAUGAUAUAAUGUGCCCAGUGGGCCACUUUUGGUAAGCAGAACUGGCGCUGUGGGAUGAACCAAACGUAAUGUUACGGUGCCCAAAUUAACAACUCAUGCAGAUACCAUGAAAGGCGUUGGUUGCUUAAAACAGCAGGACGGUGAUCAUGGAAGUCGAAAUCCGCUAAGGAGUGUGUAACAACUCACCUGCCGAAGCAACUAGCCCUUAAAAUGGAUGGCGCUUAAGUUGUAUACCUAUACAUUACCGCUAAAGUAGAUGAUUUAUAUUACUUGUGAUAUAAAUUUUGAAACUUUAGUGAGUAGGAAGGUACAAUGGUAUGCGUAGAAGUGUUUGGCGUAAGCCUGCAUGGAGCUGCCAUUGGUACAGAUCUUGGUGGUAGUAGCAAAUAAUCGAAUGAGACCUUGGAGGACUGAAGUGGAGAAGGGUUUCGUGUGAACAGUGGUUGAUCACGAGUUAGUCGGUCCUAAGUUCAAGGCGAAAGCCGAAAAUUUUCAAGUAAAACAAAAAUGCCUAACUAUAUAAACAAAGCGAAUUAUAAUACACUUGAAUAAUUUUGAACGAAAGGGAAUACGGUUCCAAUUCCGUAACCUGUUGAGUAUCCGUUUGUUAUUAAAUAUGGGCCUCGUGCUCAUCCUGGCAACAGGAACGACCAUAAAGAAGCCGUCGAGAGAUAUCGGAAGAGUUUUCUUUUCUGUUUUAUAGCCGUACUACCAUGGAAGUCUUUCGCAGAGAGAUAUGGUAGAUGGGCUAGAAGAGCAUGACAUAUACUGUUGUGUCGAUAUUUUCUCCUCGGACCUUGAAAAUUUAUGGUGGGGACACGCAAACUUCUCAACAGGCCGUACCAAUAUCCGCAGCUGGUCUCCAAGGUGAAGAGUCUCUAGUCGAUAGAAUAAUGUAGGUAAGGGAAGUCGGCAAAUUAGAUCCGUAACUUCGGGAUAAGGAUUGGCUCUGAAGAUUGAGAUAGUCGGGCUUGAUUGGGAAACAAUAACAUGGUUUAUGUGCUCGUUCUGGGUAAAUAGAGUUUCUAGCAUUUAUGUUAGUUACUUGUUCCCCGGAUAGUUUAGUUACGUAGCCAAUUGUGGAACUUUCUUGCUAAAAUUUUUAAGAAUACUAUUUGGGUUAAACCAAUUAGUUCUUAUUAAUUAUAACGAUUAUCAAUUAACAAUCAAUUCAGAACUGGCACGGACUUGGGGAAUCCGACUGUCUAAUUAAAACAAAGCAUUGUGAUGGCCCUAGCGGGUGUUGACACAAUGUGAUUUCUGCCCAGUGCUCUGAAUGUCAAAGUGAAGAAAUUCAAGUAAGCGCGGGUCAACGGCGGGAGUAACUAUGACUCUCUUAAGGUAGCCAAAUGCCUCGUCAUCUAAUUAGUGACGCGCAUGAAUGGAUUAACGACGGACGUGUUUUCGUUGCGCUCGUGGACAUAGUGCGAAGAACUUUGUUUUCCGUAUUUGGAAGUAUACGAAUAAAUAAUUUAGUGUUCCGUGGAAGUGGUGCGCAAAUUUUCGCGAAUUAAAAACAAGCGGUUUGGAAGUAAUUGACAAUAAAUUAUUGGAAAUUUUCCACUCCGCACGUGUUGAGCGGCGAGCUUGCGGGUGAGCUUUUCGAACAGCUGAGAGAAGCUUAUUGGUGGUAGUCACCGCUAAGGAUUGUGUCUUGGGACAGCUUAGUGCACUCUACCAAUAGGUGGAGCUAUCACCAUAGCAACUAGCCCGUGUCAGCGAGCAUACGAUUGCUGGACUCGUCAAAAGGAGGAGCCACCAUCGGAGCAACGCCGAUGGAGAGCGACAGCAGUGUGAGUGCCUUGAGCGGAAGCAGUGCCUCAAAGGUGUCAAGACGAGGCAGGCGUAGAGGCCAUCUGGCCUCCAAGAGCUCGGCGCCAACGCAGGCGAAGCUGAUUGCCCUGGCCUCGAAUGGAGUGCCAGAACCCGUUGGUGUGCUGGAGGAGACGUUUUCAUCGCUGGAGGAUGCCCGGGCGGCUACGUCAAGCGCUGCCAACGAUGCUGCCCCCCCCGCUGCUGCCCCCGCUGUUGAUCACACUGUUGCCCCUGAUGUUUCCACUGCUGCUAAAAUCGCUGCCACCACUGCCACCGCUGCCACCGCUGCCGCCCGUGCUGGGCAAGCAGCCAUGAUGGCAGAGCUGUCGGCCACCCAGCGCAUGGUGCGAAACAGUUUCCGCAGCCUAGGAGGCGUAGACACGGAAGAGCUCUCGUGUGCCAUCAGCCGCUAUGAUGAGCUGGUGAUGGCAUUAAUGCUCCGGUGUGGAGAACUGGAGACGCGGCUCGCGUCGAACACUACUGCCGCCAAUGC